UGAUUGUCCACCACCGAACAUCGAAGAAAGUGAGGAGACUGUAGAGAAGACUGUAGAGGAGCUUUUGCAGCAGGCAGAAGAAUUUUUAGCUCCAAACAUUGCCGAAACAAAUGAACUCCAAAAGAAAAGUUCCAAAGUGAUAGACUCCGUACAAUCUCCAUCAAAGAAUAAGCCAAAUAACUAUGAAAGCGAGGAAGAAGUCUUAGCUGCAACCAUUGAUCAUUCAUCAAGGCAUUCCUCGGCAUCAUCAAUUUUAUUGAAUUAGCUUUUGGCAAAUGUUGCCGAAGAAAAACAACCUGCUCUGUGCCAACCGUCAAUUUCCACGUCAGUAAGUCCUGCAUUUAGUCGACAUUUUAACUACCCCGAAAAAAUUGAAAAAUCGACUAAUUCAAUCCGUCAAAAGCCUUUUCAGGUUAAAAAAGCAAAAUGGAAAAAAGAAAUAAAAAAACAGUAAAAUACUAUGUUCCAAAUGUGAAAUAGAACUGAUUUCUGACACGGAAGACAACGAUGAAAAAAACUUAGGCUGUGAUUCAUGCAUUAGAUGGUUUCAUCUUAAAUGCACACAAUUUUCCGGGAAGAUUUUUGAAGAAGUUGAAAGUGAACAAUUUGUAUGUGAUAGUUGUGCAAAUUAAAAUUGCAAUAUAAUUGAUACCUUCAAUUUUAAUGUCCAUUUUUCAAAUAAUUGGUACCUUAAUUAAAGACUUAAAUUUUUUAAAACUAUAUUUAAGAACAUUUUAAAUACCUAUGUAUUUGUCUGCUUUUUAAUUAGUAUGUUAAUAAUAAAUUUUCUAAUUGUUAUGUUUUUUUUUAAACGUUUAUGUUUGUUUUUUUUUUUUAAACUAUAUUUAAGAACAUUUUAAAUACUUAUGUAUUUGUCGCUUUAUUAAUUAGUAUGUAAAUCAUACAUUUUUUGAAUUUGUAUGUUUUUUUGUAACGUUUAAGUUUGUUUUUUUUUUUUACUCGUUACACCUACCUACUUAUUACCAGGUAACUACUUUAUA